AGGACGAACGCUGGCGGCGUGCUUAACACAUGCAAGUCAAGGGGGCCCAGCAAUGGGCAACCGGCGAACGGGUGCGUAACACGUGAGCAACCUACCGAACUGUGGGGGAUAGCCGGCCUAACGGCCGAGUAACUACCGCAUACGCUCUCAGUGAGGCAUUUCAUUGAGAGGAAACCUACGGGACAGAUCGGAGGGCUCGCGCCUAUCAGCUAGUGCGAGGUAACGCUCACAGGCAACGGCGGUAGCUGGUCUGAGAGGAUCGGCCAGCCGACAGUUGGGACUGGAGACUACCCGGCCCAGACCUCCGUAACGGAACGGCUAGCGAGGUAGGGAA
rnacentral:rRNA from 1 species